GACGAACGCUGGCGGCGUGCCUAAUACAUGCAAGUAGAACGCUGAAGGAGGAGCUUGCUUCUCUGGAUGAGUUGCGAACGGGUGAGUAACGCGUAGGUAACCUGCCUGGUAGCGGGGGAUAACUAUUGGAAACGAUAGCUAAUACCGCAUAAUAGCAGUUGUUGCAUGACAACUGUUUGAAAGGUGCAAUUGCACCACUACCAGACGGACCUGCGUUGUAUUAGCUAGUUGGUGGGGUAACGGCUCACCAAGGCGGCGUUACAUAGCCGACCUGUGAGGGGGAGCGGCCGACCUGGGACUGUGACACGGCCCAGACGCCUGCGGGAGGGAGCAGUAGGGAAUCUUCGGCGAUGGGCGGAAGUCUGACCAAGCAACGCCGCGGGAGUGAAGAAGGUUUUCGGAUCGUAAAGCUCUGUUGUAAGAGGAGAACGAGUGUGAGAGUGGAAAGUACACACUGUGACGGUAUCUGAGCAGAAAGGGACGGCUAACUACGUG
rnacentral:rRNA from 1 species